rnacentral:rRNA from 1 species
UGGGGAAUUUUGGACAAUGGCGAAAGCCUGAUCCAGCAAUGCCGCGUGUGUGAAGAAGGCCUUCGGGUUGUAAAGCACUUUUGUCCGGAAAGAAAUCCUUGGCUCUAAUACAGUCGGGGGAUGACGGUACCGGAAGAAUAAGCACCGGCUAACUACGUGCCAGCAGCCGCGGUAAUACGUAGGGUGCAAGCGUUAAUCGGAAUUACUGGGCGUAAAGCGUGCGCAGGCGGUUUGCUAAGACCGAUGUGAAAAUCCCCGGGCUCAACCUGGGAACUGCAUUGGUGACUGGCAGGCUAGAGUAUGGCAGAGGGGGGUAGAAUUCCACGUGUAGCAGUGAAAUGCGUAGAGAUGUGGAGGAAUACCGAUGGCGAAGGCAGCCCCCUGGGCCAAAUACUGACGCUCAUGCACGAAAAGGCGUGGGGAGCAAAACAGGAUUAGAUACCCCUGGGUAGUCCACGCCCUAAACGAUGUCAACUAGUGUUGGGGACUUCAUUUCCUUAGUAACGUAGCUAACGCGUGAAGUUGACCGCCUGGGGAGU